rnacentral:rRNA from 1 species
GAUGAACGCUGACAGAAUGCUUAACACAUGCAAGUCUACUUGAAUUUGGGUUUUUUAACUUAGAUUUGGGUGGCGGACAGGUGAGUAACGCGUAAAGAACUUGCCUCACAGCUAGGGACAACAUUUGGAAACGAAUGCUAAUACCUGAUAUUAUGAUUAUAAGGCAUCUUAGAAUUAUGAAAGCUAUAUGCGCUGUGAGAGAGCUUUGCGUCCCAUUAGCUAGUUGGAGAGGUAACGGCUCACCAAGGCGAUGAUGGGUAGCCGGCCUGAGAGGGUGAACGGCCACAAGGGGACUGAGACACGGCCCUUACUCCUACGGGAGGCAGCAGUGGGGAAUAUUGGACAAUGGACCAAGAGUCUGAUCCAGCAAUUCUGUGUGCACGAUGACGUUUUUCGGAAUGUAAAGUGCUUUCAGUUGGGAAGAAAAAAAUGACGGUACCAACAGAAGAAGUGACGGCUAAAUACGUG